GUCUCUAGAAUCUCUUCCUCUCUGGACUCUUCUCGAUCCCAUUUUUUGGUGGCGCUGCCGUCUCCUCCCCGGUCACCCUUCCUUCCCUCCCCGUCCCCAGUCUAUCACCUUCCCUCUCCUCCUCUCCUAAUGGACCACCAUUAUAGUGGCGACUACUCGUGACAUGUUAGGGCAUUUGUGGUUGCUCGUGGAGGCAGAUCAUGGCAGUAUUGGCGGUGGCAGGUCGCCGCUGGAUAGUGAAAAAUGUAUCUAUGGAAGUCAACAACCUCCCUCCCCCCUCUCCUCUCUCUCUCCAUGAAUUUUUCCCGAUCUGAUUAUGUUAAUUUGGAUUCCCUCUCUUUCUGUUUGUACGUGUAUACAUUGUUGACAUCUGUUUAUUGAUAUUCAUCGGCCAUGCUAAGUUAUGUAUUACUGCAGAUGGGAUUGUAUCUUUGACUAUACCAGAAGUGAAUAUGUGUGUCUCUGCAGGUAUUUUUGUAUUUUUUAUGUGCCAGAGGUGUUUGCUCAAAUGCCAACGUGGUUUUGUUGUGCAAACUAAUUCCAAAAUAGACAAGUUCACUCGAAAUUUUCAGAUUUUAGAAUGCAACUAGAAACCCUGGAAGUUGGUAUUCGUGUUUCUGCAAUGAACUUGCUUGUGCAGCUCAUCAUCAUAUUUUCAAUUGUCACAAUCUUUCUAACGAACAGAGCUACCAUGAUUUCCAUAUUUAAUUUAAUUUAUUUUACACAUUAUAGGUUCUAUAAAACUAUGUUUAAUUCUAAAGAACAGAGCUACCAUGAUUUCCAUAUUUAAUUUAAUUUAUUUUCCACAUUAGAUGCAUCAAGUGUACAUAGGAAUUGCCUUUCGGAAGUUGUACAGAUUGAAGAGAUAAGCUCCAAGUUUGCAGUUGAUACAUGAGAAGAUCAGUUUCAGUCGCAUUCACUGUAUGAUAGCUACAGUGGCGUGGCAUGGCAGCAGCAGCGUCUUGUGGCAGGGCAUUUCAACGGCCAUUAGUGUGUGUGCGUACAUGUGCUCGUGGUGGUGUUUCAUGGCACAAACCUACUAAGCAAGGCACAAACUUUCAAUAUAUAUUGCGAUAUUCCCUGGCUGCAUGGCCCCUCCCCUAGCUGUUGUGAGCUAUCUUCUUUCAUGUCUUAUUGACAGCAUGAUAAUUAGGGAUUUUUUUUUUUGCACACCUUUUGUUAGCCUGUUCUCUUCUGUAAGACUGAUAAAGCUGGGGUGCAGAGUUGCAACACGAUAUCUAGGUCCAGGGCAUUGCAUACUUCUGUAACGGACCUGCUCACCGCACAUUAAUCUUAAUUAAUGUCUAAACGAAGUUGAUAUUACUUUUAUCCUUAUACUUUUAUCGGAUUGGGGAAGGCCACGGGCCAUCACGCUGCCGUGCUAUGGUGAAGCGGGAGGAAGGCUUAGACUGUGCUUCGGGCAUUGCUGGAGCCUGGCCACGGGAGCUGCUACGGUUGUCAGGCAUGCUUUUGUUUUUCCUUUCCUUUCUCCUGCAUUUGAAAAAA